rnacentral:rRNA from 1 species
UCGCCGCCGCCGCCGCCGGUGCUGCCGGACGAGCUCCUCGAGGAGGUCUUCUUCCGCCUCCCUCCGGACGAGCCCGAGCACCUCGCGCGCGCCUCCCUCGUCAGCAAGGUCUGGCUCGGCCUCCUCUCCGACCCUCGCUUCCGUGCUCGCUACCGCGACUUCCAUGGAGCGCCCCCCAUGCUCGGCUUCCUUUGUUCCUGGCGCCCCUAUUCCGUCCAUGAGGUGGAAGAUAACAUCCCGCACUUCUUCCCCACCACCAAAUUCCGUGCGCGCAUACCCGAUGACGACUGGGGGGACUGGGGCUACACUGCGUGGGACUGCCGCCACGGCCGCGUUCUCCUCGGCGACCAGUCUUACCAUCCCGUCCCGCUCGUCGUUUGGGACCCCAUGAGCGGCCGCCGGAGGGAGCUGGACCAACCCAGCGAGGUCGGCAGCAGCUAUGGGGCAGCGGUGCUCUGCGCGGUGGCCGGCUGUGACCACCGUGCGUGCCAUGCAGGCCCCUUCCAGGUGGCCUACAUCGGUGUUGAUACGAUUGAAGAAGAUGGCGAAUGUUUUGCGAGCGCAUGCGUGUCCUUGCCGAUGUCGGCUGAUUGGAGCAAGCCGUGCUCUGAAUCUCGUCUUGACAAGUGGGGCGCGCGGUGCUCUGCUCUUCGUGUUGGUGGGUACACUCCAUCCUGGGACGAAAUGGCCCCUGUCUUUGUCGAAGGCGCACUUUACGUCAAUCUCGUGUACUAUCAGGAAGAUGAUCACAUUGCAAUUCUCAAGUAUGACCUGGUAUCUAACUGCUUGUCGCUGAUUGAUGCACCGUUGGCUGGGCCUUUCAAUCUCAAUGCCGCUCUCCUCAUGGCGAUGGGUGAUAACAGUUUGGGGUUUGCACAUGUGGAUAAGGUAACCCUCCACUUGUGGUCAAGACAGGGAGAUCCUGAAGGAAUUGGAUCAUGGACUCAGCGUACAGUCAUCGAUCUUAAUAACCAUCUCCCUAUUCAAAAUCCCAAUAAAAGACUUAGACUGAUUGGAUCUCUGGAGGGCAGUGAUAUCAUUUUCGUGACCAUGGGCCUUGACAUCUACGAGCUUAAUCUCAAAACAUUACGGUGGAAAAAGCUACAGAAGAGUGAAAAGCUUUGUGGUUUGAUUCCGUACAUGAGUUUCUACAAUCCACAAGGUAUAUUUGUAUCUAUAUAUGCCCUUUCUUUU